AUUAAACUGGGGUCGCAAAGAAUCUACCUCAUCACGAUAAUCGACGUUUUGAGAAUGGAGUGAAUUAAAUUCUACAGGUACGGAAUUACUAGAAUUUGCAUCAUUAAGGUCUAGGGCUGGCUGAUUCAGUUGUUGCCUAUUAAAAAUUUCAUCGACAUCAACAUCAUUCUCCUCCUCUUGCGGCUCUCGAAUAUUGUCCCCCAGAAGAGCAAAUCGCUGACGAGCUCUCUCGAUUUCUUCAAAAGAUCCGUUUCUUUGCAAUUCUAAAUUUCUUUGCUCUUGUCGCUCGCGUAAAUGCUCCAUCACCAUUGCUAGUCGUUGACGAGCUUCACGAACUUCACGAAGAUUUUGAGCAGCUGCAGCUGCAGCUUGAGCUUGGUUAUUCUGGUUGACAUUCUCAAACUGUUGCCCCUGAAGUUCAUCCGCGACCUGGACGGCAUUUUGAAGAACCCAUUCACGAACGAGGAAAGCCGUAAUCAAGAUAAAUGUAACCACAAAAGUUAGAACCUGACCUUCUGCAGUGUUGGCAAUUAAAGUAUUCAACCGAGGACUGGACGUAAUUUGGGAAAUUGAUUCAAAAUAUCCUGGCUUUUGGGGAGCCGUGAAGGUUUUAUUUCUUGCAUGAAUCGUAUACGUGUCACCUAUUUUAAAGUUCAAAUUCCAUACAUGCUUAAAUAUAAGAGGUAGAAGGACUGUCCAGCAGAAGAACGUA